rnacentral:misc_RNA from 1 species
GAUGAAGAACGCAGCGAAAUGCGAUAAGUAAUGUGAAUUGCAGAAUUCAGUGAAUCAUCGAAUCUUUGAACGCACAUUGCGCCCGCCAGUAUUCUGGCGGGCAUGCCUGUUCGAGCGUCAUUACAACCCUCAGGCCCCCGGGCCUGGCGUUGGGGAUCGGCGGAAGCCCCCUGCGGGCACAACGCCGUCCCCCAAAUACAGUGGCGGUCCCGCCGCAGCUUCCAUUGCGUAGUAGCUAACACCUCGCAACUGGAGAGCGGCGCGGCCACGCCGUAAAACACCCAACUCUUCUAAGGUUGACCUCAGAUCAGGUAGGAAUACCCGCUGAACUUAAGCAUAUCAAUAAGCGGAGGA